rnacentral:rRNA from 1 species
UGGGGAAUAUUGGACAAUGGGCGAAAGCCUGAUCCAGCCAUGCCGCGUGUGUGAAGAAGGUCUUCGGAUUGUAAAGCACUUUAAGUUGGGAGGAAGGGCAUUAACCUAAUACGUUAGUGUUUUGACGUUACCGACAGAAUAAGCACCGGCUAACUCUGUGCCAGCAGCCGCGGUAAUACAGAGGGUGCAAGCGUUAAUCGGAAUUACUGGGCGUAAAGCGCGCGUAGGUUGUUUGUUAAGUUUGAUGUGAAAUCCCCGGGCUCAACCUGGGAACUGCAUUCAAAACUGACUGACUAGAGUAUGGUAGAGGGUGGUGGAAUUUCCUGUGUAGCGGUGAAAUGCGUAGAUAUAGGAAGGAACACCAGUGGCGAAGGCGACCACCUGGACUAAUACUGACACUGAGGUGCGAAAGCGUGGGGAGCAAACA